ACGAACGCUGGCGGCGUGCUUCACACAUGCCAGUCGCACGGAAAGGCCCUGCUUUUGUGGGGUGCUCGAGUGGCGAACGGGUGAGUAACACGUGAGUAACCUGCCCUUGACUUUGGGAUAACUUCAGGAAACUGGGGCUAAUACCGGAUAGGAGCUCCUGCUGCAUGGUGGGGGUUGGAAAGUUUCGGCGGUUGGGGAUGGACUCGCGGCUUAUCAGCUUGUUGGUGGGGUAGUGGCUUACCAAGGCUUUGACGGGUAGCCGGCCUGAGAAGGUGACCGGCCACAUUGGGACUGAGAUACGGCCCAGACUCCUACGGGAGGCAGCAGUGGGGAAUAUUGCACAAUGGGCGGAAGCCUGAUGCAGCAACGCCGCGUGCGGGAUGACGGCCUUCGGGUUGUAAACCGCUUUCGCCUGUGACGAAGCGUGAGUGACGGUAAUGGGUAAAGAAGCACCGGCUAACUACGUG
rnacentral:rRNA from 1 species